GUUUGAGGGCGCCAGCUCACGGACCAAGCUGCCAAGAAUUUUCCACAACGUGUGGAAAAUUUCGGAGGGCUCUUGGUCAGUCGGUGGCGAGCUUUAGCGAUGAACGGACGGGUUCCGGAAGUGUUUGUGAUAAUUUGGGAGAGCUUGAACACAGAGAGAAUAGACAGGUUUAUUCAAGUGUAAGUGAAACAGUUAUCUCCUACACUCCGUACUCACUUCUAAUGUUUGAGGGUCCAAAAGCCCCAAUUAGAAUUAUAGGAGAGAGUGAAGAAUAACUUCGUAGAGCGUCUCCAUAUUUUAGUUCAUGUUGAGCGAAAUGAUUCUGAAUCCCGGACGCACAAGCACCGAGUAGAAGGCGCCGCGACGCACGGUUCGGGAGACGCUGGCCGGCAGCCAUUCCCGCCACUGGGUGUCCAACUCGUCGUACAGCCAAGUGAUCGAAAAGUCGUUGUGCACGAAUGGCGGCGGAAAACUGCAAUAAAAAUAAAUUUUAUGUAUUUUAUAAUAUAUUAAAAAAUAAUAUAAAUAGA